GGGCGGGUGUCUAGAGCCGAGUCAGGACCUUGUCCUUUGUUGUUUCCAAGAGUGUGGAGGAAGUAGGCUCUGCCCCCUCCUGCCCUUGGAUACAGUCGGAGACAAAGGGAGGCAGAGACAUAUCUACGAGGGCUGCCCCACACCA
ensembl:miRNA eca-mir-8972 eca-mir-8972